rnacentral:rRNA from 1 species
CCCUUAGAUGUUCUGGGCCGCACGCGCGCUACACUGACGAAUGCAACGAGCUUAUAACCUUGGCCGAAAGGUCUGGGUAAUCUCCAAAUUUCGUCGUGAUGGGGAUAGAUUAUUGCAAUUAUUAAUCUUCAACGAGGAAUGCCUAGUAAGCGCAAGUCAUCAGCUUGCGUUGAUUACGUCCCUGCCCUUUGUACACACCGCCCGUCGCUCCUACCGAUUGAAUGGUCCGGUGAAGCGUUCGGACCGUGGCCUUUGGACGGUUCGCCGUCUGUUGGCUGCGGGAAGUUCGUUAAACCUUAUCAUUUAGAGGAGGGAGAAGUCGUANCA